UAAACUUUGUAAUAAUUUUUUAAAAAUUUUUUAAUGUAUAUAUAUAUUUUUUUUUUUUUUUUUUAAUAUAUUAUUUGAGCUAUUUUUAAUAAUACUUUGCAUUAUUAAUAGGUGACUAAAAAAGUGCCAGCAGUCGCGGUUAUACUUUUAUAUAAUUUUUAUUUUUGUUUUUAUAUAUAGUUUUUUCAUGUUUGUUAAAAGGUUGUGUUUUAUAUUUUUUAUUUAAAAUCAGAUUUGAUACCUGAGUAUAUAUUAAUUUUUUUUGAAAAAUAGUAAGUUUAAAUUUAAAUUACUAGACGGUUUUUUUUUAAUAGAGGAAUUUGCUUUUUAAAAUGAUAAUACGCGUUAUUUUUUUUUUUUUUUUAGGUUGUAUAUGUUCGUCUAAAAAGUUUUUUAAGAAAAUUUUGUUUUUUUUUUUUAAUAUAAGACAGAUCAACAUGCACCGUAUUUAAAAAAAAGAGUGAUUUUCUUUUUUUUGUUUUUAUUUUUUAUAUAUGUAAUGAUGAAAUAGAAUUUAUUAGUAAUAAAUAAUAUUUAUAUAUUUGUGAAAUUUAUAUGGAAGAGUACUCACCGCCCGCCAAGUAAAGUUUUUUAUUAAG
rnacentral:rRNA from 1 species